CUAGCCUCAUUGCGUGCAAGCCAAAGCUCCCAAGCAAUUAGCGCAGGGGUCAAAAGAGCAAGUUAAUGAAAUUGCGAAGAACCAUCAAAUUGGUGCAAUUGAUUAAUAAGUACGGCAUGCCAUGAACUAGCAAAAACAUUUCGAGCUCCAAAGAUGUUGGCAAAAUGAGUCAAAACAUGAGUCGCUGCUUCGCUAGUAUGAAAUAGGUACUCAACGUCCUCCACCUUUGUAUGAGAACAACAUUAACAUUUUGAUACUAAUGGGACACCACGACUUCUAAUAACACUAUCCACUGGUAUUAUACCAAACCAAACACGCCAGAAGAAAAUUGAGAUUUUUACUGGGAGCAAUUUAUUCCAAAUCAAUUUGAAGAGAUAACUUUUGUCCUUGGUCUCACGUAAAAGAUUCCAAGUCGCAUUAGUAAAGAACUCUCCUGUUAGAGUCGGACACCAAAUCAGUUUGUCUGGCACUUGCUUCAAGCGGAUAGCUAAAGUAUGAAUGUAAGCCAUCAAAUUGUCACCUCCCAGCUUAUGAAUAAGAUCAGUAUUCCAAACAUCCUUUGCACAAACAUCUUUCAACUGUAACCUUGGUUCAUUAACAAUCCAGCCUUGGUCAUAUAAAGAGCCAAAACCUGUCCAGUUUGCAUACCAAAAUUAGAUUUUUCCUUCACCGAUCAUCCACCUGUUGUGGUCAUGAAUAAAAGGAAGAUGUUUACUUAAAGUACGCCAACAUGGGGAUGAACUAAGUCCAGGUGAGUAAGAGUUCAUGUUAAAAUUUACAGUCAAAUAUUUCUGCCUUAUGAAUGCAGCCCAUAAAGAGUCACCUCUCAAGACUCUCCAUAGCAUUUUACAUUGGAGUGAGUAUAAAACAUCAAAUAAACUUAGGACGCCCAAUCUCCCUUCAUAAGAGGGAAAACAGAUUUUCUUCCAAGAAAUCCAAUGAUAUUUAUGCUUCCCUUUAUAAUCACCCCAGAAAAAAUUAGCAACGAUCUGUUGUAGUUCAUGAAUCACUUUAUCUAGAGGGUGUAUCACUAACAUUAAAUAUAUAGGCAUAGAGGUUAAUACCGAUCGAAUGAGUGUGAGCUUACCUCCCCAAGAAAGUAGUUUACCUUUCCAGCCUGCAACCUUUUUACAAACUUUG
rnacentral:lncRNA from 1 species